UGGGGAAUUUUGCACAAUGGGGGAAACCCUGAUGCAGCGACGCCGCGUGAUUUAGAAGGCCUUCGGGUUGUAAAAAUCUUUUCUAUGGGAAGAAAAUGACAGUACCAUAGGAAUAAGGACCGGCUAAUUACGUGCCAGCAGCCGCGGUAAUACGUAAGGUCCGAGCGUUGUCCGGAAUCAUUGGGCGUAAAGGGUACGUAGGCGGGUAAGCAAGUUAGAAGUGAAAUCCUAUAGCUCAACUAUAGUAAGCUUUUAAAACUGCUCAUCUUGAGGUAUGGAAGGGAAAGUGGAAUUCCUAGUGUAGCGGUGAAAUGCGCAGAUAUUAGGAGGAAUACCGGUAGCGAAGGCGACUUUCUGGCCAUAACCUGACGCUGGGGUACGAAAGCGUGGGUAGCAAACAGG
rnacentral:rRNA from 1 species